UACGUAGGGCGCAAGCGUUGUCCGGAAUUAUUGGGCGUAAAGAGCUCGUAGGCGGUUUGUCGCGUCUGUCGUGAAAGCUUGGGGCUUAACCCCAAGUCUGCGGUGGAUACGGGCAGACUAGAGGCAGGUAGGGGAGAACGGAAUUCCCGGUGUAGCGGUGAAAUGCGCAGAUAUCGGGAGGAACACCGGUGGCGAAGGCGGUUCUCUGGGCCUGUACUGACGCUGAGGAGCGAAAGCGCGGGGAGCGAACAGG
rnacentral:rRNA from 1 species